rnacentral:rRNA from 1 species
UGGGGAAUUGUUCACAAUGGGCGCAAGCCUGAUGACGCAACGCCGCGUGGGGGAUGAAGGUCUUCGGAUCGUAAACCCCUGUCGAAUGGGACGAAAGACUCGCGAGUGAAUACUUCGCGAGAGUGACGGUACCGUUAAAGGAAGCCACGGCUAACUCUGUGCCAGCAGCCGCGGUAAUACGAAGGGGGCUAGCGUUGUUCGGAUUUACUGGGCGUAAAGCGCGUGUAGGCGGGUUGGAAAGUUGGGGGUGAAAUCCCGAGGCUCAACCUCGGAACUGCCUCCAAAACUUCCAGCCUGGACUCAAGUAGAGGCAAGUGGAAUUGCGAGUGUAGAGGUGAAAUUCGUAGAUAUUCGAAGGAACACCGAUGGCGUAGGCAGAUAACUGGCUCGCACCUGACACUCAGACACGAAAGCGUGGGGAGCGAACGGGAUUAGAUACCCGCGUAGUCCCUGAGCGGGCUGGCAAGGCGCAU